UCCGCGGUAGCUCAGUUGGUAGAGCGACUCCCUGUUAAGGAGAUGGUCGUAGGUUCGAGUCCUACCCGCGGAG
rnacentral:tRNA from 1 species